UACAGAGGUCUCAAGCGUUGUUCGGAAUCACUGGGCGUAAAGGGUGCGUAGGCCGCCCGGUAAGUCAGAGGUGAAAUCCCGGAGCUCAACUCCGGAAUGGCCUCCGAUACUGCCGUGCUUGAGGACUGGAGAGGAGUCUGGAAUUCACAGUGGAGCAGUGAAAUGCGUAGAUAUUGUGAGGAACACUAGUGGCGAAGGCGAGACUCUGGACAGUUCCUGACGCUGAGGCACGAAGGCCAGGGGAGCAAACGGG
rnacentral:rRNA from 1 species